GAGCUCACCUUGACAACACAUAAACUAGAAUUGGAACAAUACAGAGAAGAUCAGCAUGACCUCCGUGCAAGGAUGAUAUGCAAAUUGGUGAAGCAUUGCAUAUUUUU
ensembl:snRNA U6 U6 spliceosomal RNA